rnacentral:rRNA from 1 species
GACGAACGCUGGCGGCGUGCCUAAUACAUGCAAGUAGAACGCUGAAGAGAGGAGCUUGCUCUUCUUGGAUGAGUUGCGAACGGGUGAGUAACGCGUAGGUAACCUGCCUGGUAGCGGGGGAUAACUAUUGGAAACGAUAGCUAAUACCGCAUAAAAUGGAUUAUCGCAUGAUAAUCCAUUGAAAGGUGCAAAUGCAUCACUACCAGAUGGACCUGCGUUGUAUUAGCUAGUUGGUGGGGUAACGGCUCACCAAGGCGACGAUACAUAGCCGACCUGAGAGGGUGAUCGGCCACACUGGGACUGAGACACGGCCCAGACUCCUACGGGAGGCAGCAGUAGGGAAUCUUCGGCAAUGGACGGAAGUCUGACCGAGCAACGCCGCGUGAGUGAAGAAGGUUUUCGGAUCGUAAAGCUCUGUUGUAAGAGAAGAACGAGUGUGAGAGUGGAAAGUUCACACUGUGACGGUAUCUUACCAGAAAGGGACGGCUAACUACGUGCCAGCAGCCGCGGUAAUACGUAGGUCCCGAGCGUUGUCCGGAUUUAUUGGGCGUAAAGCGAGCGCAGGCGGUUAGAUAAGUCUGAAGUUAAAGGCUGUGGCUUAACCAUAGUACGCUUUGGAAGCUGUUUAACUUGAGUGCAAGAGGGGAGAGUGGAAUUCCAUGUGUAGCGGUGAAAUGCGUAGAUAUAUGGAGGAACACCGGUGGCGAAAGCGGCUCUCUGGCUUGUAACUGACGCUGAGGCUCGAAAGCGUGGGGAGCAAACAGG